UACGUAGGGUGCAAGCGUUAAUCGGAAUUACUGGGCGUAAAGCGUGCGCAGGCGGUUAUGCAAGACAGAUGUGAAAUCCCCGGGCUCAACCUGGGAACUGCAUUUGUGACUGCAUGGCUAGAGUACGGUAGAGGGGGAUGGCAUUCCGCGUGUAGCAGUGAAAUGCGUAGAUAUGCGGAGGAACACCGAUGGCGAAGGCAAUCCCCUGGACCUGUACUGACGCUCAUGCACGCAAGCGUGGGGAGCAAACAGG
rnacentral:rRNA from 1 species